UCCAGAGGUCUCGAGCGUUAGGCGGAAUCACUGGGCUUAAAGCGUGUGUAGGCGGCUCGGUAAGUCCCUUGUGAAAUCCCACAGCUUAACUGUGGAACUGCUUGGUAUACUGCCAGUCUUGAGCCACUUAGGGGCUACCGGAACAAAUGGUGGAGCGGUGAAAUGCGUAGAUAUCGUUUGGAACGCCAAUGGUGAAAACAGGUAGCUGGGAGUGUGCCGACGCUGAGACACGAAAGCCAGGGGAGCGAACGGG
rnacentral:rRNA from 1 species